rnacentral:rRNA from 1 species
GACAGAGGGUGCAAACGUUGUUCGGAAUUACUGGGCGUAAAGCGCGUGUAGGCGGCCAUCUAAGUCGGGCGUGAAAUCCCACGGCUCAACCGUGGAAGUGCAUUCGAAACUGCAGGGCUAGAGUCCUGGAGAGGAAGGUGGAAUGCUUGGUGUAGAGGUGAAAUUCGUAGAUAUCAAGCGGAACACCGGUGGCGAAGGCGGCCUUCUGGACAGUGACUGACGCUGAGACGCGAAAGCGUGGGAGCAACAGGAU